AAAAGCUCGUAGUUGGAUCUCAGCUCGGGCCGGACGGUCCGCCUACCGGUGGUUACUGUUCGCUGCCCAGCGUUCGGUCGGAUGUGCCUGAUGAUCUUCACCGGUUGUCUCGUGCGUCCGGCAAGUUUACUUUGAAAAAAUUAGAGUGCUCAACGCAGGCGUGACGCCAGAAUAAUUGUGCAUGGAAUAAUGGAAUAGGACCUCGGUUCUAUUUUGUUGGUUUUCGGAACACGAGGUAAUGAUUAAGAGGGACAGACGGGGGCAUUCGUAUUGCGACGCUAGAGGUGAAAUUCUUGGACCGUCGCAAGACGAACUACUGCGAAAGCAUUUGCCAAGAAUGUUUCCAUUAAUCAAGAACGAAAGUUAGAUGUUCGAAGGCGAUCAGAUACCGCCCUAGUUCUAACCAUAAACGAUGCCAGCCAGCGAUCCGGCUGUGUUCCUCAAAUGACACGCCGGGCAGCUUCCGGGAAACCAAAGCUUUUGGGUUCCGGGGGAAGUAUGGUUGCAAAGCUGAAACUUAAAGGAAUUGACGGAAGGGCACCACCAGGAAUGGAGCAUGCGGCUUAAUUUGACUCAACACGGGAAAACCUAUCCGGUCCGGACACAGGAAGGAUUGACAGAUUAAGAGCUCUUUCUUGAUUCUGUGGGUGGUGGUGCAUGGUCGUUCUUAGUUCGUGGGCUGACUUGUCUGGUUAAUUCCGAUAACGAACGAGACUCUAGCCUACUAAAUAGGCGGUCCGAUCCUCUUGAGUCGGACGUUCUUCUUAGAGGGACAAGCGGCGUUUAGCCGCACGAGACAGAGCAAUAACAGGUCUGGGAUGCCCUUAGAUGUCCGGAGCCGCACGCGCGCUACAUUGAAGGAAUCAGCGUGUGCUCUCCCUGUCCGAUAGGACUGGGUAACCCGUUGAACCUCCUUCGUGCUGGGGAUAGUGGCUUGUAAAACCACUUGAACGAGGAAUUCCCAGUAAGCACGAGUCACUAGCUCGUGUUGAUUACGUCCCUGCCCUUUGUACACACCGCCCGUCGCUACUACUGAUUGAAUGAUUUAGUGAGGUUUUCGGAUUGGCGCUCGGAUUGGGCUCCGGCUCGAGCCGACGUGCCGAAAAGACGCCCAAACUUGAUCAUUUAGAAGAAGUAAAAGUANUAACAAAGUUUU
rnacentral:rRNA from 1 species